ACACACACACACACACACACACACACACCCCGUACUCAAGACCCCCACGCACACAAGGUUCGAGUAAGUGUCUGUAUCUGACUCGCAUACACUCAUAUACGCAUAGACAGAGAAGCCUUCAUUGCAGCCUUUCACAAAACGGAUUCCCUGGUUCUGGAAGUCACUGCCGGAAGGCACCCACCUUUUUUCCAAUCCCUCAUUAAGGCACAAUCUCCCCCAUCAUCCCUUUCUAUCUCCCAACCUGGUCACCCCGGGAGUGAGGAAAACUCUUAGAAUUUUGGGAGAAAAAGGUACUCAACUAGGGCAUGACUUGCCCCUAAUGAUGGUCCCCCUUCCCUCCCCAGCAUACCUCCCACACAUACCCACUCUCAAUCUCUCCGAAACCUCUCCAAUUAGACACUAUGGGAGCACUGGCCCUUUAAGGCUACUCCUGCCUUCCACCUUCUUUGAGUUAGUGUCCGGGCCCCUGGAUCCGCCCCUUCCCCUCGUGCCCCGCCCCGCCUCUGUCAAUCAUCGGCGGCGCCUUUGAUGUCUGGAGCUUCGAGCUCUCCAGGAGCUCCGGCAGCACUCCGAGUCUCCCGCGCCUCUAGCUGCUACCGCACCUCCAGCCUCUAGUCUGUCCAAUCCUCCCGCUUCCUUGCUCACAGAGUCCGCACUUCUUAGUUCUUUUAACCCUCCCCCAGCCCCGGGGGAGCCGGGCGCCGGCGUGGGCUAAACACGGGUCAACCUCGGCCCUCCCGGGCAGAGGAGCAGAGAAAGGACCCUCCCCACUACCCUCCCCCCCCCCCCGCAAGCCCCGAUAGUGCCCCAGAAGUUUUCCGCAGGCAUUUCAGAGUGGAAAAGUGAGUCCGAGAGGCGGGUGAACUGGAGCCAGAGCCCCGCGGCUCCAGCCCGAUCAUGCCCCAGCUGGGCGGAGGCGGAGGCAGCGGGGACGACCUGGGCGCUACCGACGAGAUGCUAGCCUUCAAGGAUGAGGGCGAGCAGGAGGAGAAGAUUCCCCAGGGAGGUUUCCCCGAGCGGGAUCUGGCUGACCUCAAGUCCUCGCUGGUCAACGAGUCCGAAGGCGCGGGCAGCAGCAGCGGCCAAGCCGGGAGUGGUCCGGGUCAGACAGAGGCGCUCCGGAGAGCUCAGAACUCCCAGAGGCUGUACCAGGACAAAAUCCCAGAUGCCUUGGAAGAAGGCCUCAAGGCCCAGGACAGCAGCAGCAUCGGGAUGUACAAAGAGUCAGUGUAUUCAGGCUACAAUCUGCUGGUGCACUACCCAGGCAACGGAGUAAGUGCUGGAGCUGGAGCCGGAGCUGGGACAGGAGCUGGAGCAGGAACCGGGACUGGAGCUGGAGUAGUCACUGGGGCUGGACAGUCACUGCACAACAAGCCUGGCCAGCCCUCCCAUGGAGUUACCCAGCUCACACCCCUCUAUGAACAUUUCAGCUCUCACCAGACACAUAUCUCUGCUGACAUCAGCCAGAAGCAAGGUGUUCACCGCCCACUACAGACCACUGACAUCUCCAGUUUCUACUCUUUAUCUCCAGGUGGUGUUGGACAGAUCUCCCAUACCAUGGGCUGGGCAAGCCCGCCUCUCUAUCCCCUCUCCCCUUCCUGUGGAUAUAGACAGCACUUUUCGACUGCAGUCUCCCCGGGGGCACCUUACCCUAGGUUCACCCAUCCAUCUCUGAUGCUAAGCUCAGGUAUGCACACCACUGGCAUCCCUCACCCUGCCAUUGUACCCCACUCAGGAAAGCAGGAGCUACAGCAUUAUGACCGGGGCCUGAAACCUCCAUCAGAAACCAAGCAGGAGAAAGAAGCUAAAAAGCCAACCAUUAAAAAGCCCUUGAAUGCAUUCAUGUUGUACAUGAAGGAGAUGCGGGCCAAGGUCAUCGCAGAAUGCACACUCAAAGAGAGCGCAGCCAUUAACCAGAUCCUAGGGAGGAGGUGGCAUGCGCUAUCUCGAGAGGAACAGGCCAAGUAUUACGAACUGGCCCGAAAGGAACGGCAACUCCACAUGCAGCUCUAUCCUGGCUGGUCAGCUCGAGACAAUUAUGGGAAGAAAAAGAGAAGGUCAAGAGAAAAGCAUCAAGAAUCAAACACAGGGGAGAAGGUGAAAGGGCUGGAGGAAUGCCUCUCUACACUCCAGGUUACCAGGGAGAAUGAAGUGUUCCUUGAAAGCCUAGAAGAAGGGCUGCAAGGUAAAACCAAGAAAAAUGAUACAAAGAGGCAAAGGGGGUAUACUGUCCUCAUAAGUUUGGAGAGUAGAAGAAUGCAAUACAAAAAAAGGAAGGGAAGAAUAAUUAGGCUUUGAGGCUUGAGCCUAAUGAACAGACAUGUAGAUUUUCCCAAAAAAGGGGUGGGGGGAAUUGGAGAGGUCUUGUUUUCCAAGGAGUAGUGAUGUAGUACCAGGAAAGAAAUUAUCAAGAUAAUUAGUGGUGAUAGGUGGCUUCUUGCUAAGGAGUCAAGAGGUUGCUAUAUGGGAAUAAGCACAUGACAUAGGGAGAUUUCCAAUGUUUGUCAAAACUUGACCUAUUAUAGUGAUUCAUGUAAAAACCAAUGAUACCACCAAAGGAAUUUAGAAAGCUUGCUAGGAAUUAGGAACUCCUAGGCAAAAAACUAAAGGAGCUUAGGGCUUUAGCGUAGUACUUUGAUCAUUACUUCCAGUGGAAAGUGGAGGUUUCUAAAGAGAAAGACUGACUUAGGAAAUGAAUGUCUGAGAACAGGAUCAGGAUUUUAGGACUAUAGUUAACAAUAGAGGUAUUAUGAGUCUUGGUCUAACAAGGGUGGUAAUAUUAUAUUUGUCUGGAAUCAAGAGGAAUUUAAGUUAAAACAUGGAGCAGGAAAGGGAAAAUUACUCUAAUCUUUCAAGGCUUUGUUGAGUAGCAGGUGCAACACAGGAAGACAGAAGCCAGCUAAAUAAAUUCAUCACCUUAGAUGUCUAUACACAAAUGCACUGAAAUAGAGAUCCUAACUAAAGGAGGCAAAUUUGGCUUUGUUGAUAUCACUAAGAUUUGAAGGGAUAGUUCUAGAAAAAAUAGAAUUAAUUAAAAACAGAUCAAAAACCUUGCAGAGAGGCAAAAUUGUAAUUAAUAGUGACAGAGACUUAAAUUAUCCAGAUUUUUUUUUUACCGAAGUUCUCUCUGCAAUUAUGAUUUGCUUUAAUAAUAAAUUGAUUUUAGAAAUGAUAUAAAUAAUCUAGGACGUGUUCAGAAAAGCAUGGUGAAAAACUAGAAAUAGUGUCAUUUCUCAAAAAAGAUCAAUUUUUUCCAUGUAACACUGGGAAUGUCCAACCUGGAGAUAAGACCAUUAAUUCUUAAGUACCUGAAGGGCUAGCCCUGUGGCACAAGAACUGAUUUGUUUUCUUGGACCUCAGGUGCAGAAGUAGAAAUAAUUGGAGGGAAGAAGAAUUUGUUCAGAAUCAAAUUUCGACUUUCCUAAUAAGAUCUGUCCAAAAGUGGAAAUGACCACCACUACCUGAAAGUCACCCUCCCACCCAUGGGAAGGUUUCAAAUAAAAGCUGAAUGGCCAUUUGUUAAGGGUGUUGUAGAAAGGAUUCUUGUUCAUCUAGAUAACUUCUGAGGUCCAUUCUGAUAUGCUUUGAUUCUCUCUAAUCCCUUUAUUUUACAAAGCAGAAAACUGAGGAAAGAGAAAGAGUUUUGCUCAAAGAGUUACAUAGGAAGUAGUGGAGUCAAGAUUUGAAUACAGGUCAACCGUGCUCAGUAUAUCAUGUUAUAUUAAAAGCACAGAGAUAUCUGCUCUUCUUAGUCCAAAUGAAAGCAAGACUCAUCUGACCCCUGUCCAGAGGGGGUGAAAACCACUGAUCUUUUAUACUCUUGGCACCAGGGAAAUGGGCUCAGAGAUUAUGCCCAGUGAGAAGGAAAGGACUAGAAAUUAUAGACUACAGGUUAAGGCCUCCCACCCCUUUUCUCUGCUGUCCUGCUUGAGGCUCUGCUUUGCCUUACAGACUAACCUCAUUUUUUUCAACUCAGGUUUCCUGCUGGAGUGAUACUGCUUUUGCAAAAUGGAUGUGUAUGGUCUAGGUUUUUAUAUUUUUAUGAGUGGCUAAAAUAGAUGUUUGCCUCUUCUCUCCUACUCCUUCCCACCUUUUUCUCUCUCCUGCCCCAUUCCCAUUGCCUUUCUGCCUGCUCUCCAAAUUUGCCUCACCCUCGCAUGCUUGUGUGGGCAGACCCUGGCUCUCCUAAGAAAUGUCGAGCUCGCUUUGGCCUCAACCAGCAGACGGACUGGUGCGGUCCAUGCAGGAGGAAAAAGAAAUGCAUUCGGUACUUACAAGGAGAAGGAGAAGGACGCUGCACCAGCCCAGUUUCUUCAGAUGGCAGUGCUAUAGACUCCCCUCCAU